AGGUGAAAUCAGAUACCAGAUCCUCACUUAGCCAUAGGUUAUUGUUCAUUCCAGACCUGUCUGAGCUAGUUGUUUCAGAGGUGGUUACCAUCUAUUUACUUUGUCGUGUUUUCUUCCCUAAAUGCCAUGUGUCCGUAUAAGAAUGUCAAUAUAGUUUGUGAUACCUCUUGGGUGCUCUCAAGGAUGGUAAAAGAGCUCAUACCUAGGCACCAGAUAUUGCUUACUCACUGCUGCAUGCCUAUCACAAUCCCUCAUGUUGCUGUAAACGCUGUUGAGUAAAACAUUUGUUAUUGCCCUCCAGUGCAAUCCAAUCAGGUGGGGGGAGUCUCGUCCCCCACCGUGACCUGUCAAAGAAAAAAAAGAGAAAGCCUCUAUGAUUAGCACAAUUCACUCUUGUAAUUUAUGUGUGAUGAUUUUUCUACCUGUUUUUUUUUCAUACUUACGCAUGCUAGUUCUGCAGGUCCGAGUCCUUGAAAAGCGACUGGAUGAUCAAUUCGUCAUGCGCCGUGCUCUUGAGAAAGCACUAGGUUACAAGCCUUGUGCUGUUCAUGCAUCAAGUGUGAACUGCAUUCCAGAGGUGAAAGUUCAUAUGGACGAGCUAAAAAAAAUAGGGGGGGGGGGGGGGAGGGGGGGUACCAUGAUAUUGUGGUGUUUCACUUCCUCAUCAUGAUAUGUUUUCUUCCGAAGACAAGAGUUUUCACUUAACACAUAGCCUCUUUCUUUCUUUCUUCCAUGCC
rnacentral:lncRNA from 1 species